UGUUUCGGCUAGGGGGUCAUCCCGACUUACCAACCCGAUGCAAACUACGAAUACCGAAGAAUGUUAUCACGGGAGACACACGGCGGGUGCUAACGUCCGUCGUGAAGAGGGAAACAACCCAGACCGCCAGCUAAGGUCCCAAAGUCAUGGUUAAGUGGGAAACGAUGUGGGAAGGCCCAGACAGCCAGGAUGUUGGCUUAGAAGCAGCCAUCAUUUAAAGAAAGCGUAAUAGCUCACUGGUCGAGUCGGCCUGCGCGGAAGAUGUAACGGGGCUAAACCAUGCACCGAAGCUGCGGCAGCGACACUAUGUGUUGUUGGGUAGGGGAGCGUUCUGUAAGCCGUUGAAGGUGGCCUGUGAGGGUUGCUGGAGGUAUCAGAAGUGCGAAUGCUGACAUAAGUAACGAUAAUGCGGGUGAAAAACCCGCACGCCGGAAGACCAAGGGUUCCUGUCCAACGUUAAUCGGGGCAGGGUGAGUCGACCCCUAAGGCGAGGCCGAAAGGCGUAGUCGAUGGGAAACAGGUUAAUAUUCCUGUACUUGGUGUUACUGCGAAGGGGGGACGGAGAAGGCUAUGUUGGCCGGGCGACGGUUGUCCCGGUUUAAGCAUGUAGGCGGAUG
rnacentral:rRNA from 1 species